GUUAAAAAAAGCAUGUAGCAUUUAAGUUUCGGCCUUAAACAAGGUUUUGUACCUUUUAAUA
rnacentral:tRNA from 1 species